rnacentral:rRNA from 1 species
GAUGAACGCUGGCGGCGUGCCUAAUACAUGCAAGUCGAGCGAACAGACGAGGAGCUUGCUCCUCUGACGUUAGCGGCGGACGGGUGAGUAACACGUGGAUAACCUACCUAUAAGACUGGGAUAACUUCGGGAAACCGGAGCUAAUACCGGAUAAUAUAUUGAACCGCAUGGUUCAAUAGUGAAAGACGGUUUUACUGUCACUUAUAGAUGGAUCCGCGCUGCAUUAGCUAGUUGGUAAGGUAACGGCUUACCAAGGCAACGAUGCGUAGCCGACCUGAGAGGGUGAUCGGCCACACUGGAACUGAGACACGGUCCAGACUCCUACGGGAGGCAGCAGUAGGGAAUCUUCCGCAAUGGGCGAAAGCCUGACGGAGCAACGCCGCGUGAGUGAUGAAGGUCUUCGGAUCGUAAAACUCUGUUAUUAGGGAAGAACAAAUGUGUAAGUAACUAUGCACGUCUUGACGGUACCUAAUCAGAAAGCCACGGCUAACUACGUG